rnacentral:rRNA from 1 species
UCCUCCCUCUGGCGGCGUGCUUAACACAUGCAAGUCGAACGGUGAAGCUCCAGCUUGCUGGAGUGGAUCAGUGGCGAACGGGUGAGUAACACGUGAGCAACCUGCCCCUGACUCUGGAAUAAGCGCUGGAAACGGCGUCUAAUACUGGAUACGAGAAGGGUCCGCAUGGGCACUUUCUGGAAAGUUUUUCGGUUGGGGAUGGGCUCGCGGCCUAUCAGCUUGUUGGUGAGGUAAUGGCUCACCAAGGCGACGACGGGUAGCCGGCCUGAGAGGGCGACCGGCCACACUGGGACUGAGACACGGCCCAGACGCCUACGGGAGGCAGCAGUGGGGAAUAUUGCACAAUGGGCGAAAGCCUGAUGCAGCGACGCCGCGUGAGGGAUGACGGCCUUCGGGUUGUAAACCUCUUUCAGCAGGGAAGAAGCGAAAGUGACGGUACCUGCAGAAGAAGCACCGGCUAACUACGUG